rnacentral:rRNA from 1 species
AACGAACGCUGGCGGCAGGCUUAACACAUGCAAGUCGAGCGCUGUAGCAAUACAGAGCGGCAGACGGGUGAGUAACGCGUGGGAAUCUACCCAUCUCUACGGAAUAACGCAUGGAAACGUGUGCUACUACCGUAUACGCCCCCCUUUGGAGGACAUUGGGGGGAAAGAUUUAGCGGGGAUGGAUGAGCCCGCGUUGGAUUAGCUAGUUGGUGGGGUAAAGGCCUACCAAGGCGACGAUCCAUAGCUGGUCUGAGAGGAUGAUCAGCCACAUUGGGACUGAGACACGGCCCAAACUCCUACGGGAGGCAGCAGUGGGAAAUAUUGGACAAUGGGCGCAAGCCUGAUCCAGCCAUGCCGCGUGAGUGAUGAAGGCCCUAGGGUUGUAAAGCUCUUUCACCGGUGAAGAUAAUGACGGUAACCGGAGAAGAAGCCCCGGCUAACUUCGUGCCAGCAGCCGCCGUAACAC